rnacentral:rRNA from 1 species
GUCUACAGUCAUACCACACUGAACACACCCAAUCUCGUCUGAUUUCGGAAGCUAAGCAGGGUGGGGCCUGGUUAGUACUUGGAUGGGAGACAUAUAGAAUGUUAAGGUAACUUGCCC